rnacentral:rRNA from 1 species
GAUGAACGCUAGCGGCAGGCUUAACACAUGCAAGUCGAGGGGUAUAGUUCUUCGGAGCUAGAGACCGGCGCACGGGUGCGUAACGCGUAUGCAAUCUACCUUUUGCAGAGGGAUAGCCCAGAGAAAUUUGGAUUAAUACCACAUGGUAUGUGAGAAUGGCAUCAUUUUCACAUUAAAGUCACAACGGCAAAAGAUGAGCAUGCGUCCCAUUAGCUAGUUGGUAAGGUAACGGCUUACCAAGGCAACGAUGGGUAGGGGUCCUGAGAGGGAGAUCCCCCACACUGGUACUGAGACACGGACCAGAGUCCUACGGGAGGCAGCAGUGAGGAAUAUUGGACAAUGGGCGCAAGCCUGAGCCAGCCAUGCCGCGUGCAGGAUGACGGUCCUAUGGAUUGUAAACUGCUUUUGUACAGGAAGAAACACUGGUUCGUGAACCAGCUUGACGGUACUGUAAGAAUAAGGAUCGGCUAACUCCGUGCCAGCCGCCGCGGUAAAAC